UCUUCAUGGUUUCCAAGCUUGACUUGUUCUACAUGGUCAAGCUUGAGGGGGACUGUUGAACUGAAGAGAAGAUGGAGCUUGUACAAUAAUAGGGCAAGCUCUAGAAGAUGUCCAGAAGAGUUCAAUCAAGCUUCAGAAGUGUUCUGAAGUAGUUAUCUUGUGAAGUUAAGUCUAGGAAAGACUUAGACUGAUCAUGUGAAGGCUUUGGAGGAGUUUGGGAGAGAAAGGUUGAUAGUGCAAAGAUAGGGAUGACCAUGUACGGCCGGUGGUACGGAUGGUACGGCCAGGCAAGGACAUGGGUGAUCCAAACGAGUUCUAUCAGGUCUUGGGAUGGUUAAGUUAUGGAGAAGAGGUUGACACAUCACAUAUGAUCAAGACUUGGGUAUAAGACACAAGGAACCGUGUGGUACAAGGUUGCCUUGGAGUACAAGCAAUAAAGAAGUAUGGAUGAGAUCAUAAGUGAUGUGGAUACAUUAAUCAAUCCGUUGGAGUGGUUUGUAUGCAAAAGGAAUAUGCUGAGCAUCUUGUGUGGAUAAGGAGCUAGCUGUGGAUAAGGAGCUAGCUGUAAAGUAAAAGCAAAAGCAAAAGGUAAAGGCAAAAGGAGAAGCAUGAAUCUGGUCACAUAAGGAGCAAGAUACAUUGGCGCCUUCAGUCUCCUUUUGCCUCAGUUUGAAUCAACCAAUUACAAGACUAGCUGCCAAGACCAAAGAUCAGUCUCCCCUCAUCCAGGCCGUCCAGCAUUCAAGUUAUUAUCAGCCUUAGGAUAUAGGUUUAUGAUACUGAAAAGUGUAAAGUCAUAUAUAAGCCAAGCAUUGGCUAUUGUAAAGAAUUAAGUGAGUAAGGGGGUUUCCCCUCUCCUUCUCUAAUCUGAAACACUAAUCUUCAGUC